GUUGACCUCGGAUCAGGUAGGGAUACCCGCUGAACUUAAGCAUAUCAAUAAGCGGAGGAAAAGAAACCAACAGGGAUUGCUCUAGUAACGGCGAGUGAAGCAGCAAUAGCUCAAAUUUGAAAUCUGG
rnacentral:rRNA from 1 species